GUGAAUAACGUAGCGAAAUGCGAUACUUGGUGUGAAUUGCAGAAUCCCGUGAACCAUCGAGUCUUUGAACGCAAGUUGCGCCCGAAGCCAUUAGGCCGAGGGCACGCCUGCCUGGGCGUCACACGUCGUUGCCCCCCCCAUCUACUCCUUCGGGAUUGCGGGGGGCGGAUGAUGGCCUCCCGUGCGCCUCGCCGCGCGGUUGGCAUAAAUGCCAAGUCCUCGGCGACGCACGCCACGACAAUCGGUGGUUGCGAAACCUCGGUUGCCCGUCGUGUGCGGUCGUCGCGCAUCGAGGGCUCGAAAAAAUUGCCGAGUUCCGGCUCGGCUUUCAACGCGACCCCAGGUCAGGCGGGGUUACCCGCUGAAUUUAAGCAUAUCAAUAAGCGGAGGA
rnacentral:misc_RNA from 1 species